GACGAACCGUACGAACGUUAUUCGGAAUCACUGGGCUUAAAGGGUGCGUAGGCGGCUUUGCAAGUCGGGUGUGAAAGCCCUCGGCUCAACCGAGGAAUUGCGCCCGAAACUGCCGAGCUUGAGGGACACAGAGGUAAGCGGAACUUAGGGUGGAGCGGUGAAAUGCGUUGAUAUCCUAAGGAACACCAGGAGCGAAAGCGGCUUACUGGGUGUCUACUGACGCUGAGGCACGAAAGCCAGGGGAGCGAAGAGGAUUAGAUACCCUCGUAGUCCUGGCCGUAAACGAUGAGCACUGGUUUGGAGGCCCCCCCAUAGGCUUCCAGACGUAGCGAAAGUGUUAAGUGCUCCGCCUGGGGAGUAUGGUCGCAAGGCUGAA
rnacentral:rRNA from 1 species